ensembl:lncRNA
AGGUCUUCAGAACCUCAACAUGUUGCCUUCCCAGGCUGGGAGAGCUGCCAUGAGGUAAACAGAUCUUCUCCACCACAUGCUCCUGCCAUGAUAUACUAUGGUAUGGUAUAUCACAGACCCCAAGCAACAGGACCAAUUGGUUCUGGACUGAACCCUCCAAAACAUCCUCCUCCCCGCUUCAUCAAGAGGAUCCAGAUGCAUCGAGUCACAACCCCAGCGGCUUCCUACUCAUUUCAGAGGAAGCGCAGGAAAGGAAAGUCAGCCGGCAGCAGGGGGCGCCCGCGUCUCGCUCUCAGCUUCCUCCGGGCGUCCUGGAGCCCGGCUCAGCUCCAGCAAAGGCGGGAGAGCGCUGAGGCCCUGCACA